AUACGGAGGGUGCAAGCGUUGUUCGGAUUUAUUGGGCGUAAAGCGAGUGUAGGCGGUUUGACAAGUCGAAUGUGAAAUCCCGAGGCCCAACCUCGGAACUGCAUCCGAAACUGUCAGGCUAGAGUCCCGGAGAGGAUGGCGGAAUUCCCGGUGUAGGGGUGAAAUCCGUAGAUAUCGGGAGGAACACCAGUGGCGAAGGCGGCCAUCUGGACGGUGACUGACGCUGAGACUCGAAAGUGUGGGUAGCAAACAGGAUUAGAAACCCCAGUAGUCC
rnacentral:rRNA from 1 species